UUGGAGACAGAAUGAUUUCCCCAGCCAG
rnacentral:piRNA from 1 species